AUUAUAUGUCAAUUAUACCUUAAUAACACUGCUAAAAUUAAAAGGAAGAGAACAAUUUCCGCUUUAUUUAUCUCCCUGGGUUGUUGUGUCCCUAGGAUUACGUAAUAAUCAUAAAAGCACUUGGAAUAAUAAAAACUAGAUAAACGGGACGUAUCCUAUUGCCGAUGACUUUCUGCCUCUAUAAAUAGCCGCUGCCUUACGUGGGAGUGGAGAGUAAGAGCUGAAAGAUGCAUGAAAGAAAAUAGGAAGAUCUCCCUGAAAAAGUGACAAGGCAGAUGGGAAGGGGCCUGUAUUAGUCAGGGUUCUCCAGAGAAACAACCAAUAGUGAGCACAUGUGAGCGUGUGUGUGAUUAUCAUAAAGAGUUGGCUCGCACAGUCAUGGAGGCUGAGAAGUCCCAGGAUCUGCAGUCGGCAAGCUGGAGACCCGGGAGAGCCGAUGGUGCAGCUCCGUCUGAGUCCAAAGGCCUGAGCAGCAGGAGAGCCGGCGGCGCGGACGCAGCCCAAACGCCCAGGCUGGAGACCCGGAAGAGCCGAGGUUUCACUUUAAGUCCCAGGCAGAGUGAAGACAAUGUCCCAGCUCGAAGGCAGACAGGCAGGAGGAGUUCCCUCUUCCUCAGCCUAUUUGUUCUACUCUAGGCCUUCGACUGAUUGCUGAGACCCUCUCAUUAGGGAGGACAGUCUGCUUUGCUAAAUCCACCAAUUUAAAUGUUAAUCUCACCCAAAACGCUCUCACGGACAGAAGACUGUUGUCUAAAUAUCUGGGCAUCCUGUGGUCCAAUCCAUGUGACAUGUAAAAUUAACCAUCACAGGGACUAUUACUUACUGAGCUCCUGUUUAUAGCAAACCUCUCUUAUCCCAACCUGUAUUGGUUACAGAUAAACCCCAAAGGGACAAAGAGGUGGUAUCACUUGCCCAAGAACACAGGGCUGCCAAAAUGACAGAGCUGGAUUUAAAUUUCAUCUCACCUGAGUCUACUGCAGCAAGCUCCACUUCCUAGGAUCCCAAAAUUCAGAGCUGAAUGAGCCCUUACAGAUUAUCUAGUCCCCAUCCGCCCUUUUACGGAAAUCUAGAGGUGAAGUGACAAACUGAGGUUGCACAGCAAGUCACUGAGAGAGUGGGGCUCCUGCUUCCGUGUCAUCUGGGGCUCCUUCUGCCACACCGCCCGUCCCGACUGCAUCUUUGGCCACUUCUCCCAGUCUAGCCUGGGAGGGGAGAAAAGCCUGCUCUGAGAUGACGUUCUGCCCUCAGGGCUCAACAGCUGGAGAGAAUGUUCCCACAGGUGAGCCCCACUCGGCCCCCUCACCCCCUGCAGCCCCUCCUUCCCAGGCUGCCCUGGUUGCAGAAGCCCAGAUAUUUCACAAACAGCCAAUUAACACCUCUUUUCCUCCUCUGGUGGAAAAAAUGAUGCUCAGACUUCGUGAACUCAGGAGUGUAGGGCUGCCUGAAUGAUGCUCAGAUUUCCUGAAUUCGGGAGAGUGGGGCUGCCAGAAUGAUGCUCAGACUCCUGAAUUUGAGAGUGUGGGGCUGCCUCAUGGGGUAAUCACCUUUGCAGGAGGCCAGCUGCCCUUUGGGGAAACUCAUUUCUUUAAGGCCUGAAUGCCUGAAUCCCAAGAUCCUAGUGGGCUCCAGAGAAGGGAAAAGGGGAAGAAAGCCGAGUGGGGGAAAGGGAAGGGAAGGAAAAUUUUAUCCAGGGAAAAUUCCUUACAUGGUAACACCAGCUGGCAUUUACUGACAAUUUACUGAGUGUCAGCCACUAUCCAAGGUGCCUCCAAUUAUCUCAAUUAUCACAGUCACCUGACAAGCAGGGAAAUGACUCGGUCAAUGAGAUUUGGGGAGCUCACUCUGACUACUGUGUGCAUUGGAGGAACCAAGGCUGGAUGCAGAGAGACCAGGUCAGAAAGGUGUUCGACGAUCCAGACCAAGGACAACAGCACGCCCCUCUCUGCAGCCCGAAUGCUGAGAAUGGAAAAUCAAUAGGCAAACGAAAUUUACACAUAGACUUCUACAACUAGAAGAGAUAUUUGAGGACAUCUCGUUAAAUUCCUUAUUUUACCAAUGAGAUGUGGAAAGACAAAAUGCCUGGCCAAGGUCGCAGAGCAAGUCAGAAUUGUGUGCAUGUGUGCUAUGACCAUGUUCUCCCAGAGUCUUCAGCCAGCCCUACUUAGAAGUCCUUUGAUGUGCCAGCUCCAGGACGAGCACUGGAUUCCACAGGCUCUCCCAAAACCAAGGAAGAGAACCAGAAUCUUGUGGAAUCUCUGAUUUGGUAGGAAGCCUAGAACUUGCCUGUCCACUCCACGCUG
rnacentral:lncRNA from 1 species